rnacentral:rRNA from 1 species
UACGUAGGGAGCAAGCGUUGUCCGGAUUUACUGGGUGUAAAGGGUGCGUAGGCGGCCCUGCAAGUCAGAAGUGAAAUCCAUGGGCUUAACCCGUGAACUGCUUUUGAAACUGUAGGGCUUGAGUGAAGUAGAGGCAGGCGGAAUUCCCGGUGUAGCGGUGAAAUGCGUAGAGAUCGGGAGGAACACCAGUGGCGAAGGCGGCCUGCUGGGCUUUAACUGACGCUGAAGCACGAAAGUGUGGGUAGCAAACAGG